AUGGCACUGGCCAUGGUCAGCCAGGGGCCAUGAGGGCUGCCAGGAGCCUGGGGCAGCAGCAGAGGCUGUGCCAGAGCCAGCCUGGGAGGCACCGGCUGUGGAAUUCCUGGAUGCUGCUCCAAGCAGCUGUGGCUGGACUUUGACACAUGUUCUCAAAGUGAGGUCAGGCUUUCAAAACCCACUGAAACCCCCAAAGCGUGGAAAACCAUGAUGUCCCUGGGAGUGCUGGUGUGUGGGACAUGGAUCUGCUGGCAUUCCAGGGAAAGCUCCUGCUGUCACUUCCCCUGGGGCUGGUGGCUCUUCCAGCCUGGGCAGUGCUGCCAUGGAGCAGCUCUUGCUGCCAGCCCUUCCCUCUCCAGGCUUCCCGUGAUCCCCGUUUUGCUGGGAAUGGGCCCUCAGAGGGGGAGCGGGUGGCUCAGGCUGGAACGAGUGCUGCUUUGGGAAUGUCCAUAGGAUGGGGUUUGGAUGGGAUGGGAAGGUCCUGGCUGCCAGAUCCAGCAGAGCUUUUCUCUCCUGCACCGCACCUGACCCCACGUGAAUUUCCAUCUGGGAUUGCAGGAGGAGCCAGGAGCCGUCCUCUCCUUUGAUGGUGUCUGUUGGAGAGAGGAACAAAGCCAAGGGCUCACCUGCUUUGGAAGGAGGCUCUGCUCCCUCUCCCCAUCCCAGACCUGGAGUCAGGCUCACACAUCAUAAAGUGUCCCUGCCGUGGCACUGCUGCCCUGGAACACGGAGCUGUUUUAUGUGCCGAGAACCAGGAAUGUCUGCACGGAGCCUCAGCCACGGCGGGAGCAGCUGCAGGGAUUUCACCUUUGGAUCCUGGCAAUUGUCGAAGCAAGAAGGCCGAGGAAUUGCAAACACAUUCAGCUCCAAGCUCAUCUGUUGGGAUUUUUUUGCCUUCCUGAAAGCAGGAAUGAGACGAGGUCUCCAAAGAGUCUCUGCUCCACAUUUCCACCCAAUUUUCUUGGCCUGAGGGGUUGCACGAGUUCGGAGAAGCCUUCAAGCCUCUGAGCGUUCUCCCCAGAGCUGCGCUGGUGACAGAAAGGAUCUCCAGAACUGCUCCACUCCGUCCCCCCGCAAUUCCCAACUUCCUGAGUUUCUCCCAGCUCCGCUCCAGCCCCGCUCCGACCCUGAGGUAAUGGGGCAGCAGUAAAACCUUAGGAGGUACAAAUGAACUGCCGGGGAUUAAAGCCCCAGCGCAGCCUCCUGCGAGGCUUUAAAAGCAUCCUGUUUGCAAACAGCUCUGGGGCUGCAUCCCGCAUUCCUGGGCAUUCGCCCUCUCCUGCUUUUUUCAUCUGCAGGGAGGAACUGCAGCUGGAGCAGCUCGCCAGGUCCGGUUCUUCCAUCCCCCUGGGGCACCAGGAGCGCUGAUCAUUCAGCCCCUUCCCGAGAGUUUUGCCUUGCCCUACAUUUUUCCGAGGCGCUUUUCUAAAAGUGCUUUCAUUCCGGCUUGUCCGUGUGUUUUCCUGGAUGUCUGGGAGAUGUGUGGGAGGUGAGCUGUGCCCUCCAGGGAGGCUCCCGGGGCACCAGGACACCUUAGGGCACGAGUGAGAUCCAACCUCACCUGCAAACACGUUGUGCCUUGGGCUUCUCUGAGCUCAUUUGAUGCCCCAUGGGGUUCCCCCACUGCAUCCAGCCUUUCCUGAAGGAAAAUUCGCACCCUUUUCCUUGGACUACAGAGCUGAGCACCCCAAACCAUCCUAUAAAUUUCCAGCAGUCCCGUGUGGUGGAGUUUGGAGGCUGAGUUCGUGUAGGAUAAUCUGUGCAGAGAGCGGCUGAGCAGCUCUUGGCAGAAGUGGGAAGUGGUUGGAACUGGGAAGUAGCUGGAACUGGGAUGUGCUGGGGCAUUUGGGAUCAUUUACAGAGGGUUUUUUCCAGGCCAUGCAGCUUGGCACCGAGACAUUUUUUUGGAGAGCUCAGGCAGCUCAUCCCAGCUAUUGCACGGAUCUUUGAAGAUUAGUCUGGAUAACUUU
ensembl:lncRNA